rnacentral:rRNA from 1 species
UACAGAGGGUGCGAGCGUUGUCCGGAAUCACUGGGCGUAAAGGGCGCGUAGGUGGCGAUCCAAGUCCAUGGUGAAAGCUCGAUGCUCAACAUCGAGUCGGCCACGGAUACUGGGUUGCUCGAGCACUGUAGGGGCAGAUGGAAUUCCGGGUGUAGCGGUGGAAUGCGUAGAGAUCCGGAAGAACACCGGUGGCGAAGGCGGUCUGCUGGGCAGUUGCUGACACUGAGGCGCGACAGCGUGGGGAGCAAACAGG